rnacentral:rRNA from 1 species
UCCUCCCUCUGGCGGCGUGCUUAACACAUGCAAGUCGAACGGAAAGGCCCUGCUUUUGUGGGGUGCUCGAGUGGCGAACGGGUGAGUAACACGUGAGUAACCUGCCCUUGACUUUGGGAUAACUUCAGGAAACUGGGGCUAAUACCGGAUAGGAGCUCCUGCUGCAUGGUGGGGGUUGGAAAGUUUCGGCGGUUGGGGAUGGACUCGCGGCUUAUCAGCUUGUUGGUGGGGUAGUGGCUUACCAAGGCUUUGACGGGUAGCCGGCCUGAGAGGGUGACCGGCCACAUUGGGACUGAGAUACGGCCCAGACUCCUACGGGAGGCAGCAGUGGAGAAUAUUGCACAAUGGGCGGAAGCCUGAUGCAGCAACGCCGCGUGCGGGAUGACGGCCUUCGGGUUGUAAACCUCUUUCGCCUGUGACGAAGCGUGAGUGACGGUAAUGGGUAAAGAAGCACCGGCUAACUACGUG